rnacentral:lncRNA from 1 species
CUCACCAUGCAACUCUUCCCUUUCCCUCCAUAAAACGUGCUUAAAACCCUAGAAAACAUAAGGAUCAACACUUACCUCUUGGCUGGUGUGAUCCUAGCUUCAAAACAUGGAGAAACCAAGCUCCUCAAGCUUCAAGCUCCACACCUUCCUCUUGUUACUCAAAACCUUCAAACCCAAGUAAAAACUCAUGAAAACCUUACAAGAUUUGAGGAAAACACCAUGAAAACCUCCCAAGAAGAGCAUAACCUCACCUUUGCCUACCAAGAGAGCGUCCAAGACCCUCCAUGGCCGG